rnacentral:rRNA from 1 species
UACGAAGGGUGCAAGCGUUACUCGGAAUUACUGGGCGUAAAGCGCGCGUAGGCGGAUCGUUAAGUCUGAUGUGAAAGCCCUGGGCUCAACCUGGGAAUGGCAUUGGAAACUGGCGACCUAGAGUGCGGUAGAGGGUAGUGGAAUUCCCGGUGUAGCAGUGAAAUGCGUAGAGAUCGGGAGGAACAUCUGUGGCGAAGGCGACUGCCUGGACCAGCACUGACGCUGAGGCACGAAAGCGUGGGGAGCAAACAGG